ensembl:miRNA
UGGUGGCGGCGGUAGUUAUGGGCUUCUCUUUCUCACCAGCAGCCCCUGGGCCACCGCCUCCCU